GCCGGAGUGGUGGAAUUGGUAGACACGCGGGAUUUAGGUUCCCGUGCCGAAAGGCGUGAGGGUUCGAGUCCCUUCCCCGGCA
rnacentral:tRNA from 1 species